UUUCGGCUACAGCUACAGCGUUGAGGCUGUUUCCUUUCGGGGAGGCUGGUAUUUCUGGUGCCCUCACGCAAGGGCGCUUCUUACAGAAUCACUGAGUUGUUAGGGUUGGACUGGACUCUGGAGACGCCGACCCAGCCCCCCUGGCAAGGCAGAGUCACCUGGAGCAGGUGACACGGGAACGCGUCCAGGCUCCAUGAAAUUGCAAAUGGAGGCUCCAGUCUACAAAGCAUCAGACCUUGUGGAUGGUUGAUCAGGAUUAUAUGCUCUGAUAUUAUGUUUCUACCAGCUGAGAAGCCCUACAUCAGGUCAGUGAUGGGCAAUGGCAAGGAGAAAUCCAGCCCCUUAGUUUGGUGGGAUGGUGCAAAGGAGAACAUUUCUCCCUGCUUGCAGCCAGGCAGGAUUUGGCCAUGGUUCUCCUGGUAGUUCAUGCAGGGACGGGGAGGAUUAUAAGCCAUAUGUCCAAAGAAUUUGUGUACUGCAUUUUGGGUGGGAUUUCCAGUGUUCCUGCUGGGCCCAUUGCUGCAGGAAUGAUUCUGAAACAGAUGGAAAUUAUGCUGACAGCCACUGAUGUGACCAGUAUGUACAAGGGGAUGCUGCUCUGCUCCUGAGGCUCCUAACUGCAGGCCUGGGAUGUGGCCUGGGGAGAGAUGAUGGGGGGCAGCCUCAGCACCUGUGUGUGCAGGCAGAGGGAGGCAGAAGGAGGCAGACGGAGAUGGAUUAGCAGUGCCGCUGCAAGGAGCCCAGGUUUGUCACAGAGUCUGUCCUCUUCCCUGGCACUGCAGGCACAAUCUGGUUUUAUUGACUGUUAAGUGGGCUACCUCAUAUCAGACCAUUCCCACUCAUGACGCCAUUCUGAUGCUGAAGUCCCAGAGACUUGCAAGGCUUUAGCCAAAGGGAGAAGGGGAAAGAGAGAAAAUCCUACCCACUGAGCCAUGUUUGCACAAAGUGAAAGGCUGGGUGUAAUGUAAGGAGGCAAACAACAUAGAAUCAUAAAAUGUUAGGGGGUUGGAAGCGACCUUAAAGAUCAUUUAGUCCCAACCCUCCUGCCUUGGGCAGGGACAUGUCCCACUAGACCAGGUUGGUCAAUGCCCCAUCCAACCUGUCUGAACACUGUCAGGGUUGGGGCAUCCACAGCCUCCCUGGACAACCUGUGCCAGUGUCUCACCCUCUCAGAGUAAAAAACUUCUUCCCAAUAUCUAAACUAAAUUUCCCCUCUUUCAAUUUGUCCCCAUUACUCCUUGUCCUAUCACUGCAGUUCCUGAUGAAGAGUCCCUCUCUGGCUUCCCUGUAGGCCCUCUCCAGAUACUGGAAAAUUGCUAGGAGGUUUCCACACAAUCUUUACUUCUCCAGGCUGAACACCCCCAACACUCUCCGCCUGACUUCAUAGGGAGGGUGCUCCAGUCCCCCUACCAAUUUUGUGGCCUAAUCUGGACUUUUUCCAACACUUCCAUGUCCUUCUUUUGUCAGGGAUACCAGAACUGUACUCAGCACUCCAGGCGGGGACUCACAAGAGCAGAGUAGAGGGACAGAAUCACCUUUCUUGACCUGCUGGACAUGCUCCUUUUGAUGCAGCCCGGGAUUCGUUUGGCUUUCUGGGCUAACAUCAGAGAGUUUGAGUUUGCCUUAUUCACCCCACUUGUACUCACUGGCAUCAGCUACUCCCUACCCUGAUUCUGGAUGGCUCCUUGGCACCCAGACCCAGCUGGGUAAGUACCGUGUGUGCCUCCACCACUCCUAAUGGACUGCCCUGGCCAGGCACGCUCUCCCCAGUGUGGAACUCAGCUGAGGCAGCCUUUUCAUGUGGAUGCCAAAGCAAGACUGAAGAACAAAGGGCUGCAGCCAGGUGAAUAUAUGAAGUACCUCUAUGUCCUCUUCUCCACUGGCUGUGUGACGGUCUCUCUGCUGGUGUGAAUUGCUACCUGCUCUCUUGAAUGGACACGCUGCAGCUCUCACGAAGACUAAAACCUGACUUACGAGCAGCCUCCUGUGCCCAGAGGGAUAAUGUGCCUCGACAUGAGGCAAGUCACGGUAUGGCAUUUGCCUAUCACCAGGACAAAUUUGUUUGCUGCUCUGUUGUCCCUGCCUUUUCUCACAGUGGCAGCUGUUCUGUGUUCUGACAGAGGUUUGGAUGAGGCAAUCUUUGGCACAGAUCUCUUGGCACUGCAGACCUGAAGUGCUGCCACUGCCUUGGAGGCACAGCACAUCUGAGCACACCUCACUGCUGUUCUACCGCCCCCUCUGCUGCCACCCGUCGGAACUGGCUUCCAAAAUUGCCAUUCUGCACUGCAGCCUGUGGAGAGGGUGAUACUAGAAAACCAGAUAAAACAAUAAAGGAACAAAAAAAAAACCUCUUUGAACCCCAGGUUCAAAAGAAACUGUUCUGUUCACCACUGACCACUUAUUUCCUGUGAGUUUUGGAGAAGAUUGUAUACAGAUUGCAUAUAUAUAGUAUAUGUAUGUUCUCUUUGCCCCUCGUGGCCAUCUGCUUCUGGAGAGAACCAAAGGCUGGGGCUGUUCUUUGGGUUAAAUUUGGAGUAAAAGAAAAGAGGGGCAGGAUGCACGGUGGUCAGGACCACAACAGCUUUAAAAAAAAAAAAAAAAAUUGCAAGGGAGAAGCAAAAGAUUACAAAGGAGAAUGGCCUGAGGCUUUAUUGGAUUGACAACUUGAUGGCAUCUCAAAUGGUGGUCAGGAAGUAGCUCAGUGAGGGGGUGGCUCAGUCAGACUCUGGGAAAACAGAACUGACUGAGGGAAACCAAGGUUUUCAUAAUUAAAAUUAGGUUUUCUACAGAAGGCAGAGUUGGAGGAAUUUCGUUGUGCAAGGACAUUUCAGGAGCACAGCCAGUUUCCCAACACUCUUUGUCUGAUGAGUCAAAGCAAAAUAAAUCAUA